GAGUUCCGACAAGGGACGUCAGUGUGAGUGGUCUUAUCACACCGCACACCGAUGGGCUGUUUAGAGAUGCAAGUUUGGUUUAUGGUUGGGCCUUUUUCACCCAUAUCAUAUAGCCCACACAGGGAAUAUGCAUAGUCGACAGCACAGUCAAUAUGAACACCAUUCUCCAACUACAUAUGCGUUCUCUCUCUCAUGAGGUGGUUGCAAACAUCUGCCAAACAGCAUGCAGAGUUCCCGAUAUACGUACCUGGAGACUAAAGGAACUUUGACAAGGGUCCACCCACAUUCUCUGUCUGAGUUCCACGUAAAUCCAACCAGCCCAUGAACAAUCAAAUCGGAAUUUGACUCAACUUGGCACAAGGAUUCAUGGUUAAUUAACAAGAAAUUAGCAGUAAUGAGAUCCAGACUUCAGGGAGAGAAUCGUUUUGCCAUCACCAGGCAUUGUCUAUCUCGUCUUGGUUUUCUUUAACACAAGAUGUGUGACAUAUUCACACCAAUUGUUGCACUGCAUCAAAGAAUUCUGUUCAAACGUUUGUUGGAAUAUUCAUUCAAUUAUAUGCCGGUUCUGGUGAAAAGUUUGAAGUUCUUCGCCAUAUCCAUCCUCCAACUCAUUCAGUCUUGAAGAGAACUACGAAUAAAAAGCAAUAUAUCUAAUGUGAGAAUCAAUUUAAUCUAGUAACCGGUAUCUGAAUAUUAUAUUUAUUGAUAUUUGAAAUGCUUAGAAUAAUGUACAUUGCAAAUCUAAGACUUAUGAUUGCAUGAUAUGGGAAAUUAUACCAUUUUUAUUCUCGUUGUAAAACUUUAUAUUUAUAACCGCUAAACAAAAUGACCUAUUGUGAAGAACUAUAUAGGGUCGUUUGUAUACAUUGCACACUGAGGCACAGUCUCUUGUAGAAACGAAACACCUUUUCCUAGCUCAUUUCAGAAAUAACCUGUAUUAUAAAACCAACAAAUCUAUUUAUAUUAGAUAUCACUGUACAGGAAAGAGAUGUGAUUAUACAUGGAUUUUUUUUUUUUUAAAAUGAAAAAAAAAGAGCAGCUGUCAAAAGCGGAAACAAGUAGGUGAACAAGCCAAUCCAAAUUUGAUAUGGUUAUCAUUUCGCUUAUCUUGAUCUACUUUUCCAAAAGAAAUAAACACUCUACAACGUGAAGUCACUACUUGUUCUCUAAUUGGUAUACAAUUUCUCGAUUUGUUGUCGAUUCAUGUUUCUAAACAACGGGCGAUAACAUCUUGGAAGCAGUUGGCUCUCGAGAAGAUCUACGGCAUUGCUUUUCAAUGUUCCGUGUGGCUUUCUUAUACACAGUGUGUGUACGCUUGUCUAUAGGGUCUCUUGUAUGGAAUACAAAUCUGUCUUUCGCAUGGAGAAAUUAAAUCCACCUAAUCAAGUUAGAAAAAAUAAACAAGUGGAAUAUUUCUGUUCGGCAGCAACAUGUGUUAAUUGUCAUCAGUGAUGAUCUUCUGAUACCAAUGACAAUAGGGAAUGGAGACCACACAGUGGUGGGAUGGAUGUUUUCUCUUGAUGAUAAUUGAUUCUAACUUUAGAAACUGAUGAAUGGAAUGAGAUGCAGGUGAGAAGCAUUCCGUACUUAUAACAGAAAAUUAGAACAGCGAUACAGAUGUCAUCACAGAUAUCUACAGAAACAUUUCCACAAAUCGAGGGAAGAUCUCCAUGCAUUAUCUGAAAAUAAAAGCUACGUAACGCCUACAUUACACAUCCAGAGUGACUGACUGAUCAGAUACCGGGAAAAUCGUCAAAAAAGUUCUUCAGUGAUUUGAAUGAUCAUUUUGAUUGGACAGCCAUCUAAACUUAUGAUCGGCAAUUUUUUUUUUACUGAAGAAAACAACCUGACUUUGAGUUUUGUCAUUUUCAUUUCAGCAAUAUGUAUACAUCAUGUGCAUGUUCAAAGAGCGAAAGUUUGUUUCAUUAGUAGCAACAAAUGGAUUUCAACUUAACAUAAAAGUAAUUUGAAAAAAGGCAUA